rnacentral:rRNA from 1 species
UCCUACGGGGGGCAGCAGUCGAGAAUCAUUCACAAUGGGGGAAACCCUGAUGGUGCGACGCCGCGUGGGGGAAUGAAGGUCUUCGGAUUGUAAACCCCUGUCAUGUGGGAGCAAAUUAAAAAGAUAGUACCACAAGAGGAAGAGACGGCUAACUCUGUGCCAGCAGCCGCGGUAAUACAGAGGUCUCAAGCGUUGUUCGGAAUCACUGGGCGUAAAGCGUGCGUAGGCUGUUUCGUAAGUCGUGUGUGAAAGUCGCGGGCUCAACCCGCGGACGGCACAUGGUACUGCGAGACUAGAGUAAUGGG